AGAGUUUGAUCCUGGCUCAGAGCGAACGCUGGCGGCGUGCCUAACACAUGCAAGUCGAACGUGAAAGGGAGCAAUCCUGAGUAAAGUGGCGUACGGGUGAGUAACGCGUAGGUAAUCUACCCCAGAGUCCGGAAUAACCGGCCGAAAGGCUGGCUAAUACUGGAUAGAGCGACGGAACUCGUAAAGAGUUUUUUCGGGAA
rnacentral:rRNA from 1 species